UGUUUUGACACACCAGCAUGCUUCAUCCUCACAAACACCCUAGAGAAAUGAUCAUUUAACUAAAAAUCAAUCAUUAUAUAAAUCAGGAGAGCUGAAGUGCAAUUUCAGAAUAUACCUAUAAUUGGAGUGGAAAGGGACGUACCUAGUUCUUCCAAGCCCACUGUUAAAAUUAAUGCCUUUCUGCAUGGACUACUUGUUUACAGAAUAUCAGACUGCCCUUUAGACUUCAGAUUUUGUUAUGCAUGCUUUUCUCCAGUUUACUAACUGUGCCAGAUAUGCUUACAGAUAGCAGUUCUGCCUAUUUUUCCUUGUACUCAUGUCCCCGGUUCACCAGUUAGAUCCCAGUCUAAGUGCUGUGUCUUACCCCUCUAGGGAAAGAACUCUUGAGAUGAGGGGUAACAGGGAGGGAAGGCCUUUCAGAUUUCUGUGAGUAGAGAAUGUUUUGCCUCUUGAUUGUUUCAUGCAAGUUAAAAUGCCUCAAGUGGAGCUGCUGCCACUGCAACUAAAAUCCUUCAACAACUUCACCUUUUUUUCUGCCCUACUUUCUAGACAUGACAUUUUUGGGAGCAUUCUUAAGAUGUACUUAAGGGGUUCAAGCUUCUCUUACGAGAGAGAAUUGCCCUAGAGUGGUCAUAUAAGUAUCAUGGUAACCAACUGCUUUUUUGAAUCUUUGGUGUUACCAAACAAAACUAAAAAACCUUAGGUUAUGGCAGGUAGGUAAGGAGGUGGUCUGGGACCAGCUUCCUGAAGAACACACACAUGCCUGUGGACAACCAUCACUUCUUUUGGUCAUCUUUUUCUGCUCAGCUCUAGAAGACUCCGAUGGAAGACAGGACUCUCCAGCAGGGGAACUGCCAAAAAGGGUCCAACAGCCAACAGUGCAACACAGAUAUCUGUUUGAAGAAGACAAUCUUUUACGGUCUACACAAAAGCUUUCCCAUUCAACAAAACCUUCAGGAAGCCCUUUGGAAGAAAAGCACGAUCAGUGCAAAUGUGAAAACCUUAUAAUGUUCCAGAACCUUGCAAACGAAGAAGUAAGAAAAUUAACACAGCGCUUAGAAGAAAUGACACAGAGAAUGGAAGCCCUGGAAAAUCGCCUGAGAUACAGAUGAAGAUUAGAAAUCACGACACAUUUGUAGUCAUUGUAUCGAGGAUUACAAUGAACGCAGUGCAGAGCCCCAAAGUUCAGGCUAUUGUUAAAUCAAUAAUGUUGUGAAGUAAAACAAUCAGUACUGAGAAAGCUGGUUUGCCACAGAACAAAGACAAGAAGUAUAUACUAACUUGUAUAAAUUUAUCUAGGAAAAAAAUCCUUCAGAAUUCUAAGAUGAAUUUACCAGGUGAGAAUGAAUAAGCUAUGCAAGGUAUUUUGUAAUAUACUGUGGACACAACUUGCUUUUGCCUCAUCCUGCCUUAGUGUGCAAUCUCAUUUGACUAUACGAUAAAGUUUGCACAGUCUUACUUCUGUAGAACACUGGCCAUAGGAAAUGCUGUUUUUUUGUAUUGGACUUUACCUUGAUAUAUGUAUAUGGUUGUAUGCAUAAAAUCAUAGGACAUAUGU
rnacentral:sRNA from 1 species